rnacentral:misc_RNA from 1 species
GAUGAAGAACGCAGCGAAAUGCGAUAAGUAAUGUGAAUUGCAGAAUUCAGUGAAUCAUCGAAUCUUUGUACGCACAUUGCGCUCCUUGGUAUUCCGAGGGGCAUGCCUGUUCGAGCGUCAUUACACCACUCAAGCUAUGCUUGGUAUUGGGCGUCGUCCUUAGUUGGGCGCGCCUUAAAGACCUCGGCGAGGCCACUCCGGCUUUAGGCGUAGUAGAAUUUAUUCGAACGUCUGUCAAAGGAGAGGAACUCUGCCGACUGAAACCUUUAUUUUUCUAGGUUGACCUCGGAUCAGGUAGGGAUACCCGCUGAACUUAAGCAUAUCAAUAAGCGGAGGA